rnacentral:SRP_RNA from 1 species
GCUGGGUGUGGUGGCGUGUGCCUGUAAUCCCAGCUACCCAGGAGGCUGAGGCAGGAGAAUCACUUGAACCUGGGAGGUGGAGGUUGCAGUGAGCUGAGAUCGCGCCACUGUCCUCCAGCCUGGGUGACAGAGUGAGACUCUGUCUCAA